rnacentral:misc_RNA from 1 species
GGGUAAAAGAUCUGCUUUGUUCACAAGAAGCAAUGUCCUUUUGUGCUUAUCAACCUCUCGUGCAUAUACCUCAAGAUCAGGACAGCGGUAGAACAAGGGGUCUCGUGCAUCAACAACCAUUACAAGCAAAUCACUGCGCUCAACGACACGCCAAAGCUGUCUCCAAAUAUCUAAGUUCUUCUCAAAUGGUGUGAGCACAAGCUUCUCAUUCUCCUCAAGGCUUGCAAGGCUUCUACGCCAGAUCAAAAAGGCUCGUCUUUCAUUCGCAUCAAGCUCCUCCACAGACAUUCCAGCAUUCCACGGUGGCCUUCGAGGGAUUCGGAGACUGCUAGCAUGUAAUGCCUCCUCCUUCUUCUGCAGCUCCCUCCUUUGCUCCGGUGUCAUAUCACUGCUACUUGAGCUCGAGUCCAGGUCGAUGAGAAGAUUGGGAGUGGGAUGCUGGAGAGAGAAGAGACGGUCGGCCUCCUCGGCUUGCUCGAUGACGGCGUCGAUGUCGCUGACUUCAGUGACAGAUUCAAGAACUUUCUUGUGCAGGGCUUUGUAGAAACGGCCUUUUUCUUUGGAUUGUUGAAUCAUCUGGUUGUGGUGCUUCACCAAAGCUCUACCUAGUCCUGUCUUCUCGUUCUUCCCCAUCUUGCUUCGUAUUUCUUCAAUUACCUCUGUUUUGCAGCUAAGUUACUUGUGUUUAUCUCGCAGAAAGAGU